UGUUAUAUGGGUAACCCGUAGUCUAGUCACGUACAAGGUUUCCGUAGGUGACCUGCGGAAGGAUCAUUA
rnacentral:rRNA from 1 species